rnacentral:rRNA from 1 species
CAGGCCUAACACAUGCAAGUCGAACGCAUCCUUCGGGGUGAGUGGCAGACGGGUGAGUAACACGUGGGAACGUACCCUUUGGUUCGGAAUAACGCAGGGAAACUUGCGCUAAUACCGGAUACGCCCUUUUGGGGAAAGGCUUGCUGCCGAAGGAUCGGCCCGCGUCCGAUUAGCUUGUUGGUGAGGUAAUGGCUCACCAAGGCUUCGAUCGGUAGCUGGUCUGAGAGGAUGACCAGCCACAUUGGGACUGAGACACGGCCCAAACUCCUACGGGAGGCAGCAGUGGGGAAUAUUGGACAAUGGGCGCAAGCCUGAUCCAGCCAUGCCGCGUGAGUGAUGACGGCCUUAGGGUUGUAAAGCACUUUAGUUGGGGAAGAAAGGUAUAAGGGGAAUAUCCUUAUGCUGUGACGUUACCCAAAGAAUAAGCACCGGCUAACUCUGUGCCAGCAGCCGCGGUAAU